UACGUAGGGGGCUAGCGUUGUCCGGAAUCAUUGGGCGUAAAGCGCGUGUAGGCGGCCCGGUAAGUCCGCUGUGAAAGUCGGGGGCUCAACCCUCGAAAGCCGGUGGAUACUGUCGGGCUAGAGUACGGAAGAGGCGAGUGGAAUUCCUGGUGUAGCGGUGAAAUGCGCAGAUAUCAGGAGGAACACCCAUUGCGAAGGCAGCUCGCUGGGACGUUACUGACGCUGAGACGCGAAGGCGUGGGGAGCAAACAGG
rnacentral:rRNA from 1 species